rnacentral:rRNA from 1 species
GGGCCGCGGUAAUUUGACCGUGCGAAGGUAGCAUAAUCAUUAGUCUUUUAAUUGAAGGCUUGUAUGAAUGGUUGGACUGGACGAGAAAUUUUCUGUCUUUAUUUUUAWUUGAAUUUAACUUUUAAGUGAAAAGGCUUAAAUUUUUUAAAGGGACGAUAAGACCCUAUAAAACUUAAUAUUUAAAAAAUUAUUUAAAAAAUUAUGUUUAAAUUUAUUAGUUUUUUAUUAUUUUGUUGGGGAGACAAUAAUAAAAAUUUAUCUGUUGGUAAAAUUAAAUAAUUAUAAUUAGAUUUUGAUCCUUUAAUAAAGAUUAUAAGAUUAAGUUACUUUAGGGAUAACAGCGUAAUUUUUUUUGAGAGUUCUUAUCGACAAAAGUAGUUGCGACCUCGAUGUUGAAUUAAAGUGUUAAAUAGGUGUAGUCGUUUAUUUAGUAGGUCUGUUCGACCUUUAAAAUUUU